rnacentral:rRNA from 1 species
AGAGUUUGAUCCUGGCUCAGAUUGAACGCUGGCGGCAGGCCUAACACAUGCAAGUCGAGCGGAUGAGGGGAGCUUGCUUCCUGAUUCAGCGGCGGACGGGGGAGUAAUGCCUAGGAAUCUGCCCGAUAGUGGGGGACAACGUUUCGAAAGGAACGCUAAUACCGCAUACGUCCUACGGGAGAAAGCAGGGGACCUUCGGGCCUUGCGCUAUCGGAUGAGCCUAGGUCGGAUUAGCUAGUUGGUGGGGUAAAGGCUCACCAAGGCGACGAUCCGUAACUGGUCUGAGAGGAUGAUCAGUCACACUGGAACUGAGACACGGUCCAGACUCCUACGGGAGGCAGCAGUGGGGAAUAUUGGACAAUGGCCGGAAGGCUGAACCAGCCAUCCCGCGUGCAGGAUGACGGCCCUAUGGGUUGUAAACUGCUUUUGUACCUGAAGAAUAGGCCCCACGAGUGGGCUAAUGACGGUAGUGUAUGAAUAAGCAUCGGCUAACUCCGUGCCAGCAGCCGCGGUAAUACGGAGGAUGCAAGCGUUAUCCGGAUUCAUUGGGUUUAAAGGGUGCGCAGGUGGGAAAAUAAGUCAGUGGUGAAAUCCUGCCGCUUAACGGUAGAAUUGCCAUUGAAACUGGUAGACUUGAGUACAUUUGAGGUAAGCGGAAUGUGUAGUGUAGCGGUGAAAUGCUUAGAUAUUACACAGAACACCAAUUGCGAAGGCAGCUUACUAAACUGAUACUGACGCUGAUGCACGAAAGCGUGGGGAGCGAACAGGAUUAGAUACCCUGGUAGUCCACGCCGUAAACGAUGCUCACUCGCUGUUUGCGAUACACAGCAAGCGGCCAAGCGAAAGCAUUAAGUGAGCCACCUGGGGAGUACGAUCGCAAGGUUGAAACUCAAAGGAAUUGACGGGGGCCCGCACAAGCGGAGGAACAUGUGGUUUAAUUCGAUGAUACGCGAGGAACCUUACCUGGGCUUAAAUGUAGGCUGCAUUCGGCUGAAAGCAGUCCUUCUUCGGACGAUCUACAAGGUGCUGCAUGGUUGUCGUCAGCUCGUGCCGUGAGGUGUCGGGUUAAGUCCCAUAACGAGCGCAACCCUUAUCGUUAGUUGCCAGCGGGUUAAGCCGGGGACUCUAGCGAGACUGCCACCGUAAGGUGAGAGGAAGGUGGGGAUGACGUCAAAUCAGCACGGCCCUUAUGUCCAGGGCUACACACGUGUUACAAUGGCCGAUACAAAGGGCAGCUACCAGGUGACUGGAUGCGAAUCUUUAAAAGCCGGUCU